rnacentral:rRNA from 1 species
GACAGAGGUGCCGAGCGUUAGGCGGAAUCACUGGGCUUAAAGCGUGUGUAGGCGGGUCGUUAAGUGCCUUGUGAAAUCCCACAGCUCAACUGUGGAACUGCUUGGCAUACUGGCGAUCUUGAGCCAGCUAGAGGCAACCGGAACAAACGGUGGAGCGGUGAAAUGCGUAGAUAUCGUUUGGAACGCCAAUGGUGAAAACAGGUUGCUGGGGCUGCGCUGACGCUGAGACACGAAAGCCAGGGGAGCAAACGGG